AUAUAUAUGUUUUCUUUUUUGUAAUAUUAGAUUCAUACAAAAAAGAGAAAUAGGCUUGAACAUGCAAAGUUGAAUGCGUUGGUGUUUGUGAAAUAUAACUUCAAGCUUAGGGAGAGAAGUAUUAGGAGGAGAGACAAGAUUGAUCCCAUUGUAGUUGAUGAAAUUAAUUCAGAUGAUGAAUGGAUAACUGAGAAAGAAGGUCCAGUUCUCCCCGUAACUACUAAAUGGCUUGAAGAUGAUGAAUUAUUUGAAAGUGAUCCUAUUGUGAGUGUGUCAUCUGCUACCUUUGAAAGUCUUUUCGACUCAGAUAAGCGAGUCGAAGAUGUUGAGGAUAUAGUUGAAGUUCCUCCUACGAAUUCAAAAAAAAAGAGUUGCUGAAAAUUCAAGUGGAAGCAAAGACAAACAAGCAAGGUUGAGUCUUGUUGAUGUGGAAGAUAAUCAUCUUGAUGCUGAAAAUUAUGGAGUAAUUCCAACUUUUGAUAGUGGAAAUUUUCCAACCAUAGAUACUAUUGAUGAUGAUAGUGAUAUAGAGUUGGAUGAUACUGAUUAUUUUUAAGUUAUGUUGUUUUAAUUAUAAGACUUUUUAAAUUGUUGGUAUGGGAUAUUUUGACAUGUAAUGAAUUAUUAUGAUUAAUUUUAGGUUAUGUUAUUUUUA